UACGUAGGGUGCGAGCGUUAAUCGGAAUUACUAGGCGUAAAGCGUGCGCAGGCGGUUCGCCAAGUCAGGUGUGAAAUCCCCGGGCUUAACCUGGGAAUUGCGCUUGAAACUAGCGAGCUUGAGUGUGGCAGAGGGGGGUGGAAUUCCACGUGUAGCAGUGAAAUGCGUAGAUAUCGGGAGGAACACCGGUGGCGAAGGCGGUUCUCUGGGCCUGUGCUGACGCUGAGGAGCGAAAGCGUGGGGAGCGAACAGG
rnacentral:rRNA from 1 species